rnacentral:lncRNA from 1 species
UCUGGGUUCAAAUCUGACAUCAGAUAAUUCCUAGCUGGGUGACCCUGGGCAAGUCACUUACCCCCUCCCCCCAUUGCCUAGUCCUUACCACUCCUCUGCCUUGGAACCAAUAUGCAGUAUUGAUUCUAAGAUAGAAGGUAAGGCUUUAAAAAAUAAUAAUGUGUUCUAGAAUUGUGUCAAGAAUUCAAAUCAGGCUCAGUGACCUUUAGAGCAUGCAGACAAUUUUGCUCCUAUUUUUGAAAAUCAAGAUUUAAUCAAGUUAAAAAAAAGAUUUAAAACUUGAUCAAUUGACUGAUUUCUUAACUGAUUUGAGAAUGAAAGACUGUUCUCAGUUAAAAGAAUUUCAGCCACCGAGCUCAGAAGAGUUGACAGCUUGUUUGAACAAGUCAAGGAGCAGUUAUGAUGAGAGGUCCAGAUUUAUGACACUAUGAUGAUCUCUUUUUUGAGACAUCAAAGGAGGACUCUUGUGAAGUCACAGGAGGGAAAAGCAAACCCUGCGUUUCAAAAACGGACUGGAUCAGGGCUGGGCUACUAGAAGAUGCAAGUCAUAACCCUCUGGGAGAGUUUCCAAGAAAUUAUUAAAAGAGUGUGCUGAAGAGCGA